GGGAGGUCCCAGCCGGUGUGCACUGGAGAACGCCGGCUCCCCCUCCCCUGCUUUGGGGUCCUUGCCCCUCCAUGGGUCUCCAGACUCGGCUCUGUCCCUGGGGCUCCCCGUUCUCCCUCCUGCAGGCCGUGCGCUUAUCUCCGAGACUGUGGAUCCCGGUCUCCCGCGCUGUGUCCCCCCCAUCCUUGCUGCGCGGCUGCCUCCUGUCUCUCCCUCCCCCUCCCCUUCUCCUCGGCUCUGUCCUUGUCCUAGCUUGCCCUGGGAGGACGGACAAGCAGGGGCUGGGCCCGAGCGCCACCCCCGGCCCCCCGGGGAUGGGGCCAUCUUUCCGAGGAGCCUGAUGGGGCUUCUCUGCCAGGAAAGGGGGGGCUAAGGGGAGGAUCGGCAGGGGGCAGGGGCCGCUCCCUCCCUUCUUCCCUCCGCACACCCGCUGACGCUUUGGGCUAAAAACACCCGAGGGGGCCGCCGGGGGAGUAUCGCCUUCCCCGGCCCGAGGCUAAAGGGGCUGAGCGGGCGCGGCCGCAGGCAGACGCCAGAGACACCAUGAUCUUCCCAGAGGCCGCGCAGUUUGUGGUCAAUUAUUUGCUGAACCGGUGGAAGCACCGCUGGCAGAGUCUCAAUCACGAAUUUCUGGGCAGAAGGAUGAGACGCCUGAUGCCCCUGUACCUGUGACGCCCGAGGGCAGGAUUAAGGUGGGAGCCCGAGGGCGGGGACUUAGGGAAGGGUUCCGGGAACCUUUGUGCAAGAAUUAAGCGCCUACUGAAUGCGCGGCUUGGAGGGGAUUCAGGGGUGGUCCCUCAGCCCGGUAGGGGAAGGGCGCAGCGGAGCCCGGUGGAGCACCCCAUUACGCGGCGCGUGCGUCAGGGUCCUCUGUGAGGUCUGCGGGGAAGAGCCUGACCGACCUGGGGCCGGCCGGGAGGCCUCCUGGAGGAGGGAUCCUCGCCGCUGAGAUUUCGGGGGCACGGAGGGGGCGGGGCGCCAGGGCCGAGGGCUCCCGCACCCACUUGGGAGCUCUCUGGCCGAGGCCCAGGCCCUCCGCUGGGCCGCCCUUCCCCCUCUCCAGUGUUCUGGGGCUCGAGUGACCCUCUAGGACUGGGGUCAGGGGAGAGCAUCCUUGUUCUCCUUCGCCCAAGGCGGGAACCCGCCGGCCUUCUCCUUCCCAGGCUGGGCGGGCUCUGGUUGUUGUGUCAGGGAGAGGGGGGCAGGCUGGCCAGGAGGUGGCUGUCAGCGCUCUCCAGGGCUCCUCCGGGACCCUGUGGCGCUGGAGCCGGGACCCUGUGGCGCUGGAGCCGGGACCCUGUGGCGCUGGAGCCGGGACCCUGUGGCGCUGGAGCCGGGACCUGGGAUCAUCCGUGUGGGAAUCGGGAUGGUGCCACACGAUGCUCCAGCGCGCAUCCCUGCGGAUCCGGGCCUGAAAUCCAGGAGGGGGCUCUGUGGAACAGCCCCCUGCUCCCCACCCCCAGUGCCCUGGUCCCGCGGGGCCUCUCUUCUCCCCACAAACCCGCCUGCAAAAGCCGGGCUGGGGCUGGGCCUGAGCGCCUGCUCUACAAAGACCCGUCCGGCUUCAGCCACACAAACUCGGCCUCGGGGUCCUCAUCUCUAAUAGAAGCCUGGACCAGGUGAUGUCCGGGUAGUCCCAGUGUGAAAUGGCUCCAGAGAGAGGAAGACUCACUAGCCUGGCUUCUGUAAGAGUCCAUGCCUUUACCUGGAAUCCCACGGUAUUCCUCUCCGCCAGCCCCUCCCGAAGCUAAGCGCUUUGAGAAAGAGAUUUUUACUUUAUUCACCAACCUCUUCUGAGAGUGUCUGAACCUCCCCUCCCUCCCAAACUCCCAUCCUGCAAGGUGACUCCCGGGCGUUGGAUCAGCUAGUCCUCCAUCCCGAGGCUAGACUGGAGAAGUCAGGCUCUCACAAGUAGAAGGGGGAGACAAAAGGACCCAGGACUCCUGGUAGGGUAGUGGGAAAUCUUGGGACUAGAAUUCCCUACAGCAGCGUCCUCUGGCUGGAAUCAGCCACCUGCUCAGUAUACUAACCUACCCCACAUCUGGGAUGGAGAGCAUCAGAUUCUCCGGUCUCCAAUGUUAGGACAUGGACAGUAAAAUCCAAAACAAUGGAUAUAUCCUGUCCUUUGAAGAGGAACACUGACAAGCUAGAAUAUAGCCAGAGAAAGGGGUCUACCAAGAUGGUGAGAAGUCUGGAAACCAUGUCCCAAAACAGUGGUUCCUAUUUGGUUGAGAACUCCUAACAAUGGUACAAGGCAUUUAGGCUAAAAAUUAUUUAAUGGUGCCUUGAAGAGUAAAUAAUUGUAGAAUAUUUUAAAGAGCAUAUUAAAUUACCAGGGAGGUUCAUAACACACUUUUUGUUGCUGUUGAAAGGAGUUUACAGCACAAAAAUCAAUGGGAACCAUAGUCAUUGGGAAGCAGUUGAAAAAACAGGGGUUAUUGAGCCUGAAAAAGACUGCCAGGAUCCAUGAAAUGGGAUGGAAAAUGCUUAAAGGCAGAGUUAGGUUUCAUAUUAGUAAAAACUUCCUGAUUUCAAGGGUUGGCGAAAAGAAGAAAAAGCUGCCUAAUGAAGAAGUGAAUGACAUCAGCCAGCUUCUGCUUCUUUAUGUUAAAUAGGGAGAUGACAAGAUCGGGAUUCCUGUCGAGAUAUUGGGUCAGCCUCAGUGCCCUCUCAGGUUCUGUGAUUCCAAACACAAAAUGAGAAUCGGACUUCGCUGACAGGAGGAAUUUUAUCUAAAGAUAAAAUUGUUAGGAAACUGAGACCCCCCCCCCAAGGAAAAUGAGGUCAUGCCAUUGUUCAUAAUGGUUACAGCAUUCUAUCCCUUAACAGUGACCUAAGUUGCUUUCCAUCAGCCCCCAUCCCUAGGGAGAAGUUAGGCUGCCAUAUUAUACUGCAUCCCUUUCCCAAAGGACGGCGUGCACUCCACUUUCCCAAGCCUUAUUGGAGAGCAAAUACUUAGCUGAGUCACCUGUAGGUCAUCUGUUUAGAUGGUUUAAGACAAGUUGGGCCAAUUAGAUCUCUGCACAGCUGGGUCAAAGAGCCCCGCUUUGUCCUGCUUACAGAAUGACCCAGGUCAGAACUAGUCCCAAGAUCUGCCUCUAAUUAUUGUGUGACCCUGUGCCAUCCUGCAUCUGAUUCUCAGAUUUCCUAGUCUGUAAAAGAAGUCGGGACCAUUUAGCAUCAGUAGGGCCUUUUCUUCAUGGACAGUCAGUCAUCUUCCAUUCUUGGGUGUGAGGAAAAGGGAGCCAUACCUUAUGUAACAAUGAGUGGGUGGGUAUGGAGAAUAAUAGGAGAUAUUUCUGGGGGGGGGUCUCUAGGCUAUAUCUCUGGGGACUAAGUGUUUCUAGGGUUGCUUCUGGAUGAUAUCUCAGGAGGGUUAUUUCUGGGGGUAUUUGGGGAAGUCCUUGGAGGUGUUUGGGAGUUAUUUCUGAAGACAUAUUUUGGAGUGUGUUUGCACAUGUUUGUUGGGUGUUUCUUGGGGGGAGUUUCCAUGAGGGAGAGUCUGAUGGGGAGUAGUGUUUUAGGAAGAUGUUAGAAGCUUCCUCUGGGAAAUCUCUGGAAAUGUCUCUCAUAAGGGGCAGGGCCAGUGACUGUUGAACUGAAGUCCAAAAAAUAAAUAAAUAAAUAAAUCCCCUUACACUGGUGGGGGUGGUGAGACUAGCCAAGGCAAUGGACAUAUCUGGACCAAUCUCAGUGAAACCGAUUCAGGUCAUUCCUCUUGCUCUGGAGCUGCCCAAGAUUUCUAAACUCUGGGAGGGAGGGGGUCUAGUUCUUAGGAACCAAGGAGUAACCAGAAGUCAAGACUUUUAGAGGAAGAAAAAGAGUGCCCUAAGAGAGAAUUUGCAGGAAGGGACUUCCCCAGUGGUCAGUGGAAUGCCUUCCCUUUUCACCCUCAUCCCAAAGCCUUCACAAAAACACUUUCAUUUUCUCUUUUAGGGGACUUUCCCUGAAGGGAAAAUCAUGAUUGGAAAGUUGGAAACAAUCCGAAUUCAUUUAUACACACACAUACACACACACUCCUAGCAGCCUCAGACUCUAAAACCUGGAGUUCAGGAAUAAGGGGUGUUUACAGGAAACAGAAAGCAGAUGAGAGAGGGCUGCAGUGAUGGCGGUGUGGGGUCAGAAAGCAUUUUCUUGCAGCCCCUCUCUCCUUUUCCCACGGCCCCUACAGCCCUGUGAGAUCCUUGGGGAAGUGAGAGGGACUCCAUCCUGUUCCACAGACAGACACAGGUACUGAAAUCAAAUGAGGAACGAAAGAAUAUCAAAGCUUUGUGUUACAGCUGAAGCCAAAGUGCAGAAAAAAGGCUCCCAUAUUACAGAGCUUCUAGUCCCCUUUCUGCCAUUACACCAAGGGAUGGAGGGGGCUGGGAGGGAGGGCCAGGUGUCAACAUCCAAGAGGGGGACCCUAGGACUGCAGAUUUGGCUAAUCAAGUAAGAAGGCAGCGGAGACUAUAUUUGGAAGCCAUCUUUAUAGAGCUUGGGACUUACCAAAACUCCCAAAUGACUUGCCAAUGCAAAAGCUAACAUUUCUGUAGUGUUUUGUGGUUGAGAAAUGAUUUUAGAUGCAUAAUCUUAUUUGGGCUUUACAACUGAAACCCCUCCAGUAGGAAAUGCAAUUAUUGUUAACCACAUUUUACAAAAGAAGAAACUGAGACUCAGAAAAGGAAGGAAGCAAACAAGCAUUUAUUCAUCACCUACUAUGCAUUAGGCACUAUGCUAAUUUUUUACACUUUACAAAUAUUAUUUGAUUCUCACAACAACAAUCUUGAAAGGGAGAUAUUAUUCCUGUUUUACAGCUGAGGAAACUGAGGCAGGUAGAAAUUAUUUCCCUAGGAUCACACAGUUAAGGGUCCAAAGCUAGAUUUGAACUCUUCUUGCCUCCUAGGCCCAGCCACUAAACUAUGUCUCCUUUUAGAAGCCAUCUAAUCCAAUCCCCUUUUAUAGUUGAAGUAACUGAGCGUUAUAGUAAUUGGAAGUCACAGUAUGAGAGACAAAACCCAAAUCCACUGAUUCCAAACUUGGUGCUCUUUCCUCUGGUACCUCCCCCUGCCCUAUUCCUCCUUCUCAUUGCAAAGGAAGAGGUGUAUAUUCCCAUUACACAGAUGGAGAAAGUGAAAGUGAGAGAGAAACAGAGAGACAGAAACAGAGGCAGAGACAGAGGAGAGAGAGAGAGAAACAGACAGACAGCAACAGAGGCAGAGGCAGAGACAGAGGAGAGAGAGAGAGAAACAGAGACAGAGCCACAGAAACAGAAACAGAGGGAGGAGAGACAAAGAGACAGAGGAGAGAGAGAGCAGAAGGGAGAGAGAAAGGGAAAAAAGGGACAGAGACAGAGGAGGGAAAGAGAAAGAGACUGAGACCCUCUCUCAAGGUCACACAGCGAAUCUUUGAUAACACUGAGACCAAAGCCAAAGCCCAGGUCUCCAAACUGAAGUUCAGGGCUCUUGGCUCUCCUCCAGGUCACCUCCCUAAAUGGAAAAUUUGCUAUUCCCAACUUUGUGUCAUCCUCAGAGAUGAUAAGCACAUUUUCAUCUCUGAUUAACUCCCUAUUGCACUCCACACAAUAGAGUGUCUCUUCCCUUCAUGUCCCCAGUGUGGUCAAUGUUCCCACUUUCAUUUUCAGAAGAUUGAAGCCUCCUAUCAAGAGUCUCCCCAUCUCUCCUUCUCCAUGUCUCCAGUUCUCUCUACAACUGCGUCUUCUCCUUUGCCCUUGCCACAGGACAAGGUGACUGUCCUUUGAUCCCACCCCCCUUUUUCUCCUCUGGGAGUCUGUCCUGUCAGCCAUUUCUCCCUUUCUCACAUUGUUCCCCCUCUAGAAUGGAAGCUCCUGAAGGGCAGGAACUGUUUCAAUUUUGUCUUUAUGUCUCCAGUGCCUGGCUCCGGGUGGGUAUUCAAUAAAGAUUUGUUGAUUGAUUGAAUUUUUUUAUUUAUUGACUCUUUCCUUAAUGCUUACAAACUGGUCUCCUUUCUCUUUAAAGAUCC
rnacentral:lncRNA from 1 species